rnacentral:misc_RNA from 1 species
UUUCCGUAGGUGAACCUGCGGAAGGAUCAUUAUUGAAUAACCGAGGUGCGAGGGCUGUCGCUGACCCGAAAGGUCGUGCACGCCCGAGUGCCCUCACACACAUCCAUCUCACCCCUAUGUGCACCACCGCGUGGGUCCCGCUUUGGCUUGUUCGGAGGGGGGCUUACGUUUUCACACAAACUUUGUAUGCAGUGUAGAAUGUAUUUUUUGUUUUUGCGAUCACGCAAUCAAUACAACUUUCAACAACGGAUCUCUUGGCUCUC